rnacentral:ncRNA from 15 species
GUUGAGAUUGCUGAGUUGGUCUACUGCGCUAAAUUAAGAUUUUGGUCCGAAAGCGCGUGGGUUCAAAUCCCACUCUCAACA